UGGAAGUAAAAGUCGUAACAAGGUCUCCGUUGGUGAACCAGCGGAGGGAUCAUUACCGAGUUUACAACUCCCAAACCCAAUGUGAACGUUACCAAACUGUUGCCUCGGCGGGAUCUCUGCCCCGGGUGCGUCGCAGCCCCGGACCAAGGCGCCCGCCGGAGGACCAACCAAAACUCUUAUUGUAUACCCCCUCGCGGGUUUUUUUAUAAUCUGAGCCUUCUCGGCGCCUCUCGUAGGCGUUUCGAAAAUGAAUCAAAACUUUCAACAACGGAUCUCUUGGUUCUGGCAUCGAUGAAGAACGCAGCGAAAUGCGAUAAGUAAUGUGAAUUGCAGAAUUCAGUGAAUCAUCGAAUCUUUGAACGCACAUUGCGCCCGCCAGUAUUCUGGCGGGCAUGCCUGUCCGAGCGUCAUUUCAACCCUCGAACCCCUCCGGGGGGUCGGCGUUGGGGAUCGGCCCUCCCUUAGCGGGGUGGCCGUCUCCGAAAUACAGUGGCGGUCUCGCCGCAGCCUCUCCUGCGCAGUAGUUUGCACACUCGCAUCGGGAGCGCGGCGCGUCCACAGCCGUUAAACACCCAACUUCUGAAAUGUUGACCUCGGAUCAGGUAGGAAUACCCGCUGAACUUAAGCAUAUCAAUAAGCGGAGGA
rnacentral:rRNA from 1 species